UACAGAGGUCCCAAGCGUUGUUCGGAUUCACUGGGCGUAAAGGGUGCGUAGGUGGUGAGGUAAGUCGGAUGUGAAAUCUCCGAGCUCAACUCGGAAAUUGCAUUGGAAACUACCUUGCUAGAGGGUUGGAGGGGGGACUGGAAUACUUGGUGUAGCAGUGAAAUGCGUAGAUAUCAAGUGGAACACCAGUGGCGAAGGCGAGUCCCUGGACAACUCCUGACACUGAGGCACGAAAGCUAGGGGAGCAAACAGG
rnacentral:rRNA from 1 species